CCGGAGCUUGCUCAAACUCAGGUCCAUUGAGUCGGUGAUGCCAUCCAACCAUCUCAUCCUCUGUCGUCCCCUUCUCCCGCCCUCAAUCUUUCCCAGCAUCAGGGUCUUUUCCAGUGAGUCAGCCCUUCUCAUCAGGUGGCCAAAGUAUUGGAUUUAGCCAGGUCAACUAUGCCUUUCCAGGUACCAUUGUUAUCUUAACAUGCGUUUGAAGAUGAGAACUGAGAAAGUAGAGUCUCCUUCAUGUCUGUAGUGCUGGUUAUGCAGACAUAAUUCUCAGCAUCUAUGAAGUUAGCCAGGUAGUUGCCGAGUUUUAUGUUGAAUUUCAGAAAAGCAACUCAGCAGAGAAUUGAUUCAUUUAGGAGACAGGUUCAAGUUGGGUCCUUGCCAAGGUGGUUUUUCCCAACAGAAUCUUAUCAGGCACGCUUUGGUUUAGCUCCUAAUGUGAUCAUGGAAAAAGUAAUCAUGUUAGGUUUGUGUUCCUAAGACGCAUGAUGAUUCUGUGCCAAUUUCAACAGUUUCCAGGGAUCUGAAGUGUAAUUCUUCAAAAAGCUUUGCCAGGAGAGAGAGCGGUGGAGGGGCACCUGGCCCAGAAGUUGGUGACAGUGAGAAUUAAUGAUGUCGCGUGUCCAGGGCAUGACAAGAGAUGGUUGUAGACCGGCUGAAAAAAGUGGAGGAGUUUAUGGAAAUGGAACUUGCCUGUUAAAUUUCACGGGCCUCUGACUACGUUUCCUUGAAACCCAGAGUCUCCACCUUUAGUUGGGGCCGAGGAGGACACAGAUGCCUUGUUUCCGCUUUUAAUUCCCGAAGUGGACUCUUGAGAAGUGAAUUUCACCUCUGGUAGGUGCUCUGUGAGAUUUACUGGAGUGCAGGAAGAAACUUAAGUUGUCUGUGUGUGUUUUUUUUUUUUGAAUAGUUAGAAAAUGUCUGUGGUCUACGAAAAAUGCAUGCAAUGUUAGUUGAGUGUUAUCUCUAGCUAAUACUUAGAGGAGUUGGGGUUAAUGCUUCAGUGGUUUUCACUGAGAGGUGUAUGGUGAAAAAGUGUCUUAGAGAUCACCGGUGAGGUCCUUAGAGGUGAUGAAGGAAAGAAACUGAAGUCCCUGAAUAAAGGGGGGCACAGAUGUAGUCUCUGUGUGUGUACACGUGCGUUGUGACAGGCCUGCCACCUUAAAGAUCAGACCUCCCCCCAGGGGUGCAGCUAUUAAUAAUGUCAUUUGGAGAAACCAGCGUAUACAGUGACAGUACUGUAUAUUUGGGUCUACCGGGUUUUGCCUGCUUUGAGAGCUGAGAAACGAUUUGUGUUUCGGAACCGGAUGACAGUAUCCCAGUUGCAGCUGCAUGGGGAAACGUUGGAACAGUGCUGUGCUUUUUAAAGCAUUUCUUAACGCCGUGGUGUUUUCAUAAUCACUCAAUUCUGUCUGUAAAUCGGCUGCUCUCAUUGACGGAUGCCCUUGGGGCUCCCAAGAACCACGCUUUUUAUUUUUUUUUGUGUGGAAGACGUGAUUCCAACUGCACAAGAUGUGAGAUAGCGCUGGAACAGGCUUGUGAUACAGGCCUUUGUGUGCCUUCAGUCUGGCUGUUUAUAUUGUGUUUUUUUCUUUUUUUCCCCAAAAGACAUAUUUCAUCCAUCAUGGUUAUUUAUAUAUGUGUAUAUAUAUAUAUAUUUUUGCAUAUCACUUGAGAGGCUUUUUAAUAGAGAAAAGUGUCAUUUUGGUUGAUGCUUGUUGGUAGUGUUGCAGAGAGUAAAUAAAUAACAGAAAUUAUAUUCACAACCCAGACUGCACUGUGGGCUGCAGAGGUGAGACCUGGGACUCACCUCCACACUUCAGGUCUUUGCCUGAGCUUCAGGUCGUUUGCGCAGGACUGCUGAAGCUUCGGUUGUGGCCCACUGAAUGCCGACCGCAAGUAGUUCCUGGGUUUCCACAGCAGCCGUUGUGUUUGCUUAGCUUGAAGUGACUGAGGUGUCAGCUUCGGGUUUUGUGUGUGAGUUGUGGUUUUCGAGUCUUGUGUCUCUUUUUGUGGCUCCUGAGUUUGCAGUGUAGCUUUUGUGAGUCCAGGAAAGCAGAGAACCAGCCCUGUGCACACAAGACGUCUGCAGAUGACGACCCUCAGGCUCGUCAGUAUCCGCUCAAGACAUUCAUUUGUCCUUGGGUAAACCGAUCAAACCGGUCCAUCCUAAAGGAGAUCAAUGGAAUAUUCAAUGGAUAUUCAAUGGAAGGACUGAAGCUGAAGCUCCAGUACUUUGGCUACCAAAGAGCUGACUCAUUGGGAAAGACCCUGAUGCUGGGAAAGAUUGAAGACGAGAGGAGAAGGGGACAACAGAGGACGAGAUGGCUGGAUGGCAUCACCGACUCAGUGGACAUAAGUUUGAGUGAACUCCGGGAGUUGGUGAUGGACAGGGAGGCCUGGUGUGCCGUGGGGUCUCAGAGUCGGACACGACUGAGCGACUGUACAACAAAACUGAUCCAUUUAAUCUGCUAAUGGAAAAAACAGAAGAUGGUUCCUUUUAUGGUAGUAUUCAGAAGACACUGACUGUAAAGACAUAGAAGAAACAGGAAGUAGAUUUUUUUUUUCCUUUUUUUUAAAAAUUGAACCUAUGUCUUGCAGGAUCUUAACCCCCGUAACCAGGGAUAGAACACAGGCCCUUGGCACUGAAAGCUUGGAAUCCCAGCCAGUAGACCUCCGGGGAAUUCCCGGGAAGUAGAAUUUUUGAUGUCUGUGUUAUGCCCCUUUAUCUCUGCUCUCCAGAGAUCAGUGCUUGAAGCUCCUGUAACAUGGUUUGAUGAAAGCCUUUCGGAAGGUACUCUUGUCUGCCCCGUCCCGGAUCGUCUAAGAGGCGAGAGACAUUGACGCAAAGUAUUUUGCUUUUAACUGGAUGCCUUAAGCCUCGCCCAGGUCCUGAGCCUCCCCCAGGAGGGCUCUUGGUUUCAGCAGGAGGGGUCUUCGUUGUGACCCCCAGGCACUCUAGCUGUGGCACACGGGUUUCGUUGCUUCCCAGGGUGUGGGAGCUUAUCUCCCUGACCAGGGAUUGAGCCCCUCGUCCCCUGCAUCGGAAGGCGGAUUCUCAGCCAGUGGACAGUCAGGGGAGUCCCGGCGACCCAACGUCUUGUUGCACACAGGUCAGCUCAACACUGAUAAAUCGCUUCAGCUUUGGGCAGGAAUCUUUUCCUGUUUUUGUUGUUGAUAACUCUCUAAUAAUUACUCGCUUGGUUAUUUUCGAGCCAAAUUAUGCUAAAUAAUAUUCAGAGCUGUAUCAGAGAAUAACCAUAUCUUGAGAUUCCUCGAAGAAACGGGUUUAAAAGUUGUUUUUCUUUCCUAAAUGCAUGCCGCAGGUACCCAUGAAGUGCAGAGAUCUGUGUAUAUGUGCUUAUCUCUAAGCCAUGUCUGACUCUUUGUGAUCCCAUGGACCAUAGCCUGCCAGGCUCCUCUGUCCGUGGAAUUUUGCAGGCAAGGAUACUGGAGUGGGUUGCCAUGCCCUCCUCCAGAGGAUCUUCCCCACCCAGGAAUUGAACCUGAGUUUCCUGCAUGGGCAGGCAGAGUCUUUAUAGCACUGCGCCACCAGGGAAGCCCAAGAUCUGUCUAUGUAUACUCCUGGGGAAUUACAGUCACAGGUGUGGGAAGCAAGACUAUAGGGGAAUAGAAGCGACAAAUGGUAAGAGCCAGCAGUAUGUGGAAUAUCUGCAGAAUGCUAACCUUUGAGGGAAGAUGUAAACACUCGAGUCUGUGGUGUUGUGAAUUACCAUCCACGAAAUUUCUAUGAAGGAAGGCUGUUAUUUCUAGGGAAGCUUGGGUUAUGAAAAUGAACUAUUUUCAUUUUCCCGCAGAAAUAAAAAUCCACUGCAGUUCAAAUAAUUGUAUGUGAAGCUUUACGAUUGGAAAUCUGAAUUUAGCAACAUUAUGUAACCCCGGUUAAUUACAUUAGUAUAUUCAAAGUAAAUAUUUAGUAAGAUUAGCUCAUGGAAGUGUUUCUUUUUUCUCUCAGUACAGCUCAUACCCACCCAGUCGUUAAUAGGUUCUAAUGGCCUUGUGUUUUUUCUUUUUUUUGAUGAUCCUGUAUGUGUGUGUUUUCAGAGAAGUUAGUUGAAUAAAACCAGAGACUGUCUCUUCACGACUUCCCAGUUUAUAUUUCAACCUGAAAUGGUCCACAGAAGCAGCUGUCCCUCGUGAAGUUUAAUUUUGUCAGUUCCUGGCCCAAGAGAAGAGGUCAGCUUGGGUCCCAUUUGUCUGGGUGGCGUUUGCUUUAAGGGAAGUUUUGGGUUUGAUUCAUUGUUUGCUGUCUACAAGUAAAUGUUCAACCUCCUUGAAUUUCCUGUGGUGUUUGCUUUUCCAUUGAAUGUUCUAUAUUUGGACCGCAAAUGUGUGUUUUCUGUAUGGGUCUCUGAUGGCCCAGAUGUUCGUCAGAGUGAGAUUUCUCUCUGUACACACUGCUGGCGUCGGGCAGUUCGCUUGUUGGGUCGUUCCUAGGACUGAGUGGGACACAUUGAAGAUUCAGGUUGGGCUUGUCGUUGCUUCUGCGGGCUCUGUUUGCGUUUGCCAUCCAUCUUUGCUUUGCCUUUGGGUGACUGUCGAUGGCUGCCUGCGGUGAUUCAGUUAAGAGCUCUAAAUCCCGUUUAAGACCACGUUGG
ensembl:lncRNA